rnacentral:rRNA from 1 species
AGUGAACGCUGGCGGUAGGCCUAACACAUGCGAGUCGAACGGCAGCACAGUAAGAGCUUGCUCUUACGGGUGGCGAGUGGCGGACGGGUGAGGAAUACAUCGGAAUCUACUUUUUCGUGGGGGAUAACGUAGGGAAACUUACGCUAAUACCGCAUACGACAUACGGGUGAAAGCAGGGGAUCUUCGGACCUUGCGCGAUUGAAUGAGCCGAUGUCGGAUUAGCUAGUUGGCGGGGUAAAGGCCCACCAAGGCGACGAUCCGUAGCUGGUCUGAGAGGAUGAUCGGCCACACGGGAACUGGGAAACGGCCCAGACUCCUACGGGGGGCAGCAGUGGGGAAUAUUGGACAAGGGGCGCAAGCCUGAUCCAGCCAUACCGCGUGAGUGAAGAAGGCCUUCGGGUUGUAAAGCCCUUUUGUUGGGAAAGAAAAGCAGCAGGUUAAUACCCCGCUGUUCUGACGGUACCCAAAGAAUAAGCACCGGCUAACUUCGU